CAAAAUAAAUUCCCUUGACCAAAGACAGCAAGUGACAGCAAAUCUUGCCGAGGUACAAGACGGUAAAAGUUCUUCCGACCCUUGUACUUUUGUUAGUGCAAGGGUUUUUAUACGGGGUU
rfam:Subdoligranulum sp. CAG:314 genomic scaffold, scf34